GGUCCCGUAGCUCAACUGGAUAGAGCAUCUGCCUUCUAAGCAGAGGGUUCGGGGUUCGAGUCCUCGCGGGAUCGCCA
rnacentral:tRNA from 1 species